rnacentral:misc_RNA from 1 species
AUAUCUAUCAACCAUUUUGUGUGCUUGCAUGCAAACUUGGCUUGGAUGUGAGGGUUUUGCUGGCUUUCGUGGUCUGCUCCCUUUAAAUGCAUUAGUGGGAAUUCUCUGCAGCCGGUCUUUCCGUGUGAUAAACCUUUACGCGGUCUGUACUUGUGGGGAAACCUGCUUAUAACCGUCCGAAAGGACAACAUUAUUUUAUGA